GACAGGUGCUGCAUGGCUGUCGUCAGCUCGUGUUGUGAAAUGUUGGGUUAAGUCCCGCAACGAGCGCAACCCUUAUCCUUUGUUGCCAACGGUCCGGCCGGGAACUCAAAGGAAACUGCUGCUGAUAAACUGGAGGAAGGUGGGGAUGACGUCAACUCAUCAUGCCCCUUAUUAUUAGGGCUACACCCCUGCUACAAUGGUGGAUACAAAAAAAAGCUACCUCCCGGGAGCAAGCAGACCUCAUAAAAUAAUUCUUAUUCCGGAUUGUAGUCUGCAGCUCCACUCCUUGAAGUCGGAAUCAUUAGUAAUCGUCAAUCAUAAUG
rnacentral:rRNA from 1 species